CUUUGAAAAAACAACAGUCAAAGAGGUUGGGCUCCUCUCUUUCUCUUUUGUCUCUUUUAGGGAGGACAGCGCAGCAAGCAGUGGUGCCAUGGUGAACUGAGAGAGACUGUCCCAGACUACCAAAGAUGAAGGCGCAAGAGGAAAUCUUAAUUUAAAUGUCUAAGUAUUGCCCUUUUACUAUGUAUCUUUUGAUUAUGUACUGGAUAUGGUUAUAAUGUGUAAUGUGUAUAUCCUUCUAAAAUCUGUAACAGUAUC